rnacentral:tRNA from 1 species
GAGGAUAUAGCGCAAGUGGUACAGUACAUGCUUAGCACGCAUAGGGUCCUGGGUUCAAUCCCCAGUACCUUCU